rnacentral:rRNA from 1 species
UACGUAGGGUGCGAGCGUUGUCCGGAAUUAUUGGGCGUAAAGGGCUCGUAGGCGGUUUGUCGCGUCGGGGGUGAAAACCUUGGGCUUAACUCAGGGCUUGCUUUCGAUACGGGCAGACUAGAGGUAUGCAGGGGAGAACGGAAUUCCUGGUGUAGCGGUGAAAUGCGCAGAUAUCAGGAGGAACACCGGUGGCGAAGGCGGUUCUCUGGGCAUGAUCUGACGCUGAGGAGCGAAAGUGUGGGGAGCGAACAGG